CAUGUUUUCUUGGAGGUGCACAUGCCUAAGAAUUGUAUGCACUAUUUCUCUAAAGCCCUAAGUUAUAUCUUAUAUUUAAAAAUUUAAAAAAAAUAUAACUCCACAUCUGUGCGGAAAAACUUUUGAUAAUUUGUGGCAAAAAUGCCAUGCUUAGCUUUUAAGUUGUUUUGUUCCUAGAAAGUACUCUGCCAACAUUCUUUACAAAAUGUUAAACUGCUUGUAAUGUUAUACUUUAACAAAGGAAAGGCACAAUUAGUCUACACAUUCUCCUACUUCCCUGCCCAAACACAUGCAUCCAAAGAUCAAUUUGAAAAAAUGUUCAUUUUUUUUUUU
rnacentral:lncRNA from 1 species